rnacentral:rRNA from 1 species
CAGCAGCCGCGGGAAUACCGAGGGUGCGAGCGUUAAUCGGAUUUACUGGGCGUAAAGCGUGCGUAGGCGGCUUCUUAAGUCGGAUGUGAAAUCCCUGAGCUUAACUUAGGAAUUGCAUUCGAUACUGGGAAGCUAGAGUAUGGGAGAGGAUGGUAGAAUUCCAGGUGUAGCGGUGAAAUGCGUAGAGAUCUGGAGGAAUACCGAUGGCGAAGGCAGCCAUCUGGCCUAAUACUGACGCUGAGGUACGAAAGCAUGGGGAGCAAACAGGAUUAGAUACCCGGGUAGUCCCUGUCUCUUAUAA